rnacentral:rRNA from 1 species
GACGAACGCUGGCGGCGUGCUUAACACAUGCAAGUCGAACGGAAAGGCCCUGCUUUUGUGGGGUGCUCGAGUGGCGAACGGGUGAGUAACACGUGAGUAACCUGCCCUUGACUUUGGGAUAACUUCAGGAAACUGGGGCUAAUACCGGAUAGGAGCUCCUGCUGCAUGGUGGGGGUUGGAAAGUUUCGGCGGUUGGGGAUGGACUCGCGGCUUAUCAGCUUGUUGGUGGGGUAGUGGCUUACCAAGGCUUUGACGGGUAGCCGGCCUGAGAGGGUGACCGGCCACAUAGGGACGGAGAUACGGCCCAGACGCCUACGGGAGGCAGGAGUGGGGAAUAGUGCACAAUGGGCGGAAGCCGGAUGCAGGAACGCCGCGUGGGGGAUGACGGCCUUCGGGUUGUAAACCGCUUUCGCCUGUGACGAAGCGUGAGUGACGGUAAUGGGUAAAGAAGAACCGGCUAACUACGU